rnacentral:rRNA from 3 species
UGGGGAAUAUUGCACAAUGGAGGAAACUCUGAUGCAGCAACGCCGCGUGGAGGAUGACGCAUUUCGGUGUGUAAACUCCUUUUAUAAGGGAAGAUAAUGACGGUACCUUAUGAAUAAGCACCGGCUAACUCCGUGCCAGCAGCCGCGGUAAUACGGAGGGUGCAAGCGUUACUCGGAAUCACUGGGCGUAAAGGAUGCGUAGGCUGGAAAUCAAGUCGAGAGUGAAAUCCAACGGCUCAACCGUUGAACUGCUCUCGAAACUGGUUACCUAGAAUAUGGGAGAGGUAGAUGGAAUUGGUGGUGUAGGGGUAAAAUCCGUAGAUAUCACCAGGAAUACCGAUUGCGAAGGCGAUCUACUGGAACAUUAUUGACGCUGAGGCAUGAAAGCGUGGGGAGCAAACA